GUACACGCUGUGACUAGCAUAUCAAUAAGCGGAGGAAAAGUAAGCCUAACAAGGAUUCCCUUAGUAACGGCGAGUGAAGCGGGAAGAGCUCAAAUUUGAAAUCUUGCAAGGUUUACCUUUCACGAAUUGUAGUUUAAAGAAGUGUUUUCUGUUACGAUCGUAAUAUAAGUUCUUUGGAAUAGGACAUCACAGAGGGUGAGAAUCCCGUAUUUGACCAUUAUUUUCAGCUUUGUGAUACACUUUCAAAGAGUCGGGUUGUUUGGGAAUGCAGCCCAAAACGGGAGGUAAAUUUCUUCUAAGGCUAAAUAUUGGCGAGAGACCGAUAGCGAACAAGUACCGUGAGGGAAAGAUGAAAAGAACUUUGAAAAGAGAGUUAAAUAGUACGUGAAAUUGUCAAAAGGGAAGCGUUUAACACCAGUGUUGUUUUCUGAAAAUCAACCUCUGUUAGCUUUAUACAUGUUUGUUUAGACCUAAUCAGCUAUCUUGCAUGUUCUAUUGUUUGCAGUGGUGCACUUUUCAGUUUACAGGUCAACAUCAGUUUUUUUUACCGUAAAAAAGUUAAAGAAAGGUAGCUCAUGGCUCCGGUCGUGAGUGUUAUAGUCUUUUUCCUAUGCGGUAGGAGAGACUGAGGUCUGCAGUGUAGGCUAUUUGGCUAGAUACUCAGGUGCUAUGUGAUACCAUUUCAUAAACAACUUGUUGAUUAUGUUUUGUCUAUUGCAUACUCGCUUGUACUAUCAUACCUACGCUUAGGAUGUUGAGUAGCGACAUACGCAC
rnacentral:rRNA from 1 species